AGGAGGGGUUUAUGUCCUAUUAGCUAGUUGGUGAGGUAACGGCUCACCAAGGCGACGAUCUUUAGCUGGUCUGAGAGGAUGAUCAGCCACAUUGGGACUGAGACACGGCCCAAACUCCUACGGGAGGCAGCAGUGGGGAAUCUUGCACAAUGGGGGAAACCCUGAUGCAGCGAUGCCGCGUGAGUGAAGAAGGCCUUUGGGUUGUAAAGCUCUUUCGUCGGGGAAGAAAAUGACUGUACCCGAAUAAGAAGGUCCGGCUAACUUCGUGCCAGCAGCCGCGGUAAUACGAAGGGACCUAGCGUAGUUCGGAAUUACUGGGCUUAAAGAGCUCGUAGGUGGUUAGAAAAGUUAGUGGUGAAAUCCCAAGGCUUAACCUUGGAACUGCCACUAAAACUUUUUAACUAGAGUGUGAUAGAGGUAAGCGGAAUUUCUAGUGUAGAGGUGAAAUUCGUAGAUAUUAGAAAGAACACCAAUUGCGAAGGCAGCUUUCUGGAUCAUUACUGACACUGAGGAGCGAAAGCAUGGGUAGCGAAGAGGAUUAGAUACCCUCGUAGUCCAUGCCGUAAACGAUGUGUGCUAGACGUUGGAAAUUUAUUUUUCAGUGUCGCAGCAAAAGCGUUAAGCACACCGCCUGGGGAGUACGACCGCAAGGUUAAAACUCAAAUGAAUUGACGGGGACCCGCACAAGUAGUGGAGCAUGUGGUUUAAUUCGAAGAUACGCGCAGAACCUUACCAACACUUGACAUGUUUGUCGCGACUCUAAGAGAUUAGGGUCUUCGGUUCGGCCGGACAAAACACAGGUGCUGCAUGGCUGUCGUCAGCUCGUGUCGUGAGAUGUUGGGUUAAGUCCCGCAACGAGCGCAACCCUUACUUUUAGUUGCCAUCAUUUAGUUGGGCACUCUAAAGGAACUGCCAGUGAUAAGCUGGAGGAAGGUGGGGAUGACGUCAAGUCCUCAUGGCCCUUACGUGUUGGGCUACACACGUGCUACAAUGGUACUUACAAUGAGAUGCAAAGAGGCGACUCUAAGCUAAUCCCAAAAAGGUACCUCAGUUCGGAUUGUACUCUGCAACUCGAGUACAUGAAGCUGGAAUUACUAGUAAUCGUGGAUCAGCGCGCCACGGUGAAUGCGUUCCCGGGUCUUGUACACACCGCCCGUCACACCAUGGAAGUUGGUUACACCUUAAGGCAAAGCUUAAAACCUUUGACUACGGUACGAUCAGCGACUGGGGUGAAGUCGUAACAAGGUAACC
rnacentral:rRNA from 1 species